rnacentral:rRNA from 1 species
AACGCGAAGAACCUUACCAAGGCUUGACAUGCAUCGGAAGCAUCCAGAGAUGGGUGUGCUCUUUGAGUCGGUGUACAGGUGGUGCAUGGCUGUCGUCAGCUCGUGUCGUGAGAUGUUGGGUUAAGUCCCGCAACGAGCGCAACCCUUGUCCUGUGUUGCCAGCGGGGCCCUUCGGGGCUGCCGGGGUACUCACGGGAGACUGCCGGGGUCAACUCGGAGGAAGGUGGGGACGACGUCAAGUCAUCAUGCCCCUUAUGUCUUGGGCUGCACACGUGCUACAAUGGCCGGUACAAUGAGCUGCGAUACCGUGAGGUGGAGCGAAUCUCAAAAAGCCGGUCUCAGUUCGGAUUGGGGUCUGCAACUCGACCCCAUGAAGUCGGAGUCGCUAGUAAUCGCAGAUCAGCAUUGCUGCGGUGAAUACGUUCCCGGGCCUUGUACACACCG